rnacentral:rRNA from 1 species
CCUACGGGUGGCAGCAGUGGGGAAUAUUGGGCAAUGGGCGCAAGCCUGACCCAGCAACGCCGCGUGAAGGAAGAAGGCUUUCGGGUUUGAAACUUCUUUUCUCAGGGACGAAACAAGUGACGGUACCUGAGGACUAAGCCACGGCUAACUACGUGCCAGCAGCCGCGGUAAUACGGAGGUGGCAAGCGUUAUCCGGAUUUACUGGGUGUACAGGGCGUGUAGGCGGGGAGGUAAGUCAGAUGUGAAAACCACGGGCUCAACCUGUGGCCUGCAUUUGAUACUGUGUUUCUUGAGUACUGGUGAGGCAGACGGAAUGUCUAGUGUAGCGGUGAAAUGCGUAGAGAUUAGGAGGAACACCAGUGGCGAAGGCGGUCUGCUGAACAGCAACUGACGCUGAGGCGCGAAAGCGUGGGGAGCAAACAGGAUUAGAUACCCGGGUAGUC